UACAGAGGUGGCAAGCGUUGUUCGGAAUUACUGGGCGUAAAGGGCGCGUAGGCGGCCAUCUAAGUCAGACGUGAAAUCCCCGGCUUAACCUGGGAACUGCGUCUGAUACUGGAAGGCUUGAGUAUGGGAGAGGGAUGUAGAAUUCCAGGUGUAGCGGUGAAAUGCGUAGAUAUCUGGAGGAAUACCGGUGGCGAAGGCGGCAUCCUGGACCAUUACUGACGCUGAGGCGCGAAAGCUAGGGGAGCAAACGGGG
rnacentral:rRNA from 1 species